UUCGACACACUAUCAUUAACUGAAUCCAUAGGUUAAUGAGGCGAACCGGGGGAACUGAAACAUCUAAGUACCCCGAGGAAAAGAAAUCAACCGAGAUUCCCCCAGUAGCGGCGAGCGAACGGGGAGCAGCCCAGAGCCUGAAUCAGUAUGUGUGUUAGUGGAAGCGUCUGGAAAGGCGCGCGAUACAGGGUGACAGCCCCGUACACAAAAAUGCACAUGCUGUGAGCUCGAUGAGUAGGGCGGGACACGUGGUAUCCUGUCUGAAUAUGGGGGGACCAUCCUCCAAGGCUAAAUACUCCUGACUGACCGAUAGUGAACCAGUACCGUGAGGGAAAGGCGAAAAGAACCCCGGCGAGGGGAGUGAAAAAGAACCUGAAACCGUGUACGUACAAGCAGUGGGAGCACGCUUAGGCGUGUGACUGCGUACCUUUUGUAUAAUGGGUCAGCGACUUAUAUUCUGUAGCAAGGUUAACCGAAUAGGGGAGCCGAAGGGAAACCGAGUCUUAACUGGGCGUUAAGUUGCAGGGUAUAGACCCGAAACCCGGUGAUCUAGCCAUGGGCAGGUUGAAGGUUGGGUAACACUAACUGGAGGACCGAACCGACUAAUGUUGAAAAAUUAGCGGAUGACUUGUGGCUGGGGGUGAAAGGCCAAUCAAACCGGGAGAUAGCUGGUUCUCCCCGAAAGCUAUUUAGGUAGCGCCUCGUGAAUUCAUCUCCGGGGGUAGAGCACUGUUUCGGCAAGGGGGUCAUCCCGACUUACCAACCCGAUGCAAACUGCGAAUACCGGAGAAUGUUAUCACGGGAGACACACGGCGGGUGCUAACGUCCGUCGUGAAGAGGGAAACAACCCAGACCGCCAGCUAAGGUCCCAAAGUCAUGGUUAAGUGGGAAACGAUGUGGGAAGGCCCAGACAGCCAGGAUGUUGGCUUAGAAGCAGCCAUCAUUUAAAGAAAGCGUAAUAGCUCACUGGUCGAGUCGGCCUGCGCGGAAGAUGUAACGGGGCUAAACCAUGCACCGAAGCUGCGGCAGCGACGCUGAUG
rnacentral:rRNA from 1 species